UAUAUAUCGUUAGUAAUUUUGGGUUGCCUCUCUAUGACGACAACUCUUUAUAACGACAUUUUCUUCUAGUCCCGACAUAGCCCGAUGUGCCAUUAUAGAGAGGCUGCACUGUAUAGCGAUAGCGGCUUUAGUUCACGUCCAGGUGGGCCUUCUUGUUUGAAAGGCCAUUGAAAGGAGAGAGAGCGCUCUAGGCCUAUAUCUUCACAACAAUGGUGUUUAUGUUUCGUGACGAUCGAUUGAGUGUUUCCAGUAGGGCCGAAGUAGCCUAGUCGCACAUCGGCGGUCGUCCGCCCCCGGGCUUCCCCGGUUCGCCUCACAGCCACGUGGUGUUCGUUUGGCCAAUUGGACAGGAGUACCCUAUUUUGAAGGGUCAUUUUUGCGUCAUAUCCGGUCAAUCCAAUCCAUUUUUAAAAGGCGCGGAGUUCCAGAGUUCCAGAUCGGAGUCGUAGAGAUAGAUCAAGAUUUAUGAAUGUUUGAAUUGUUUGCGUGACCGUCAGACGUCGGGUUUGUGAGCAGUAUCGAGUUGAAGUUCAAGAUUCUCUAUUCAUGUUGGCAGAUGCACAGUGUACAGAGACAACCUGAUCCUCAUUGAUGUCCAAUUCCCCCCCCCCCCCCCCCCAUUUUUAUGAGCAGUGAAGCAGUCGACUCUAUGAUUCCUUAUUCCUGUGGAUACACAGACUGAGACAGCCUGACUGAGGUCCAAUUUAUUCUUAUAAUCAGUGAAGCAGUCGACUCUACGGGUGGAUUUUGACAAGAUAGACGGGACAAGCAUUGGUGGGGAUGCUGCCUCUUCGGACACUGCAACACACAAAAUGACUACUGGAGUGCAAUUUGGAAACCAAUUGAUGCAGAAAUGUACAGUGGUCUGUGUGCCACAAUGAUUCAUCUUGGAAAAGGGAGGAAGCCAGACCCUCUGGAUGUUCCUGCUACCAACAAGAUUUUCGUAAUGCGUCACUUAGUUGGAGAACAAGGGAAAAUGAAAAGGAGUGGUUUCAGAAACUUUUUUCAAAACUCAUCUUUGACACCAUUUGUGUGGUCAGGAAGUGUGAAUGUGGUGCAGAAAACACUGACUCUGGAAAGUGACAUUCUGUGUGGAUUUUUGCUGAGGCCACUGAAAGUGAACUGUGUCUUUUUUCCUGGAUGCUUGUGGCAUUGACUGAACAAUGAAUAUUUUUAACCCCUUGUACUUGUUUAAUUAAGUUGGAAAUGAAAGCUUGACGUACGAAAAUGUUAUAGAUCUCAUUCAUUAUUUGUCCAAAGAGAGGCAGAUAGAUAAUGAGGUUAGUUUUUUGUACCUGUGUGGGUCAAAUUAAUUUGCAAUGUCUGCAUCAUAGUUGCAAAACUCAGAUCUUUUGUUUAUUGAAUACAACCAUAAUUUGCUAAAGGACACAAAAAAGAAAAAUAGUACAACUCCAACUGUUCAGGAGCUUUUAUCAAAGAAAAUUUUUAUGAACACAAACACAAUUGACGAACAGGCCGCUACUUCGAAAACAUAGCUACACAACCCCCCUGAUAUUGUUAACGCAAAUAUUAAGACAUGUCCAAAGCUGGUAAUUGAAUGCACUGAAUGCUGCCCGAUAAAAUAAAAUCUUUAGAAAGUCUCCUGAGUAGGAUGGAGCAGGUAAAUGCUUUUCUCCAGAAUGAAAAAGGAAAAA
rnacentral:lncRNA from 1 species